rnacentral:sRNA from 1 species
AAGUCGUAACAAGGUUUCCGUAGGUGAACCUGCGGAAGGAUCAUUAAAAAAAGAGAAACGCCCCGUUCUUUUUCAUAAGAAUGGGUUCUAUUCCCUUAAACCGUGUCUACAUACCUUUGUUGCUUUGGCAGGCCGCCUUCGGGCGUCGGCUCCGGCUGAUAGUGCCUGCCAGAGGACCCAAACUCUAUGUUUAGUGAUGUCUGAGUACUAUAUAAUAUUUAAAACUUUCAACAACGGAUCUCUUGGUUCUGGCAUCGAUGAAGAACGCAGCGAAAUGCGAUAAGUAAUGUGAAUUGCAGAAUUCAGUGAAUCAUCGAAUCUUUGAACGCACAUUGCGCCCCUUGGUAUUCCGAGGGGCAUGCCUGUUCGAGCGUCAUUAUAACCACUCAAGCCUGGCUUGGUAUUGGGGUUUUCGCGUGUUCGCGGCCCUUAAAAUCAGUGGCGGUGCCGUCUGGCUCUAAGCGUAGUAAUUUCUCUCGCUAUAGGGUUCCGGUGGUUACUUGCCAAAACCCCCCAUUUUUUCUAGGUUGACCUCGGAUCAGGUAGGGAUACCCGCUGAACUUAA